AGCGAACGCUGGCGGCAGGCCUAACACAUGCAAGUCGAACGAACCUUUCGGGGUUAGUGGCGGACGGGUGAGUAACACGUGGGAACGUGCCGUUAGGUUCGGAAUAACUCAGGGAAACUUGUGCUAAUACCGGAUGUGCCCUUCGGGGGAAAGAUUAAUCGCCUUUAGAGCGGCCCGCGUCUGAUUAGCUAGUUGGUUGAGGUAAUGGCGCACCAAGGCGACGAACAGUAGCUGGUCUGAGAGGAUGAUCAGCCACAUUGGGACUGAGACACGGCCCAAACUCCUACGGGAGGCAGCAGUGGGGAAUCUUGCGCAAUGGGCGAAAGCCUGACGCAGCCAUGCCGCGUGAAUGAUGAAGGUCUUAGGAUUGUAAAAUUCUUUCACCGGGGACGAUAAUGACGGUACCCGGAGAAGAAGCCCCGGCUAACUUCGUG
rnacentral:rRNA from 1 species